GACGAACGCUGGCGGCGUGCCUAAUACAUGCAAGUUGAGCGAUGAAGAUUGGUGCUUGCACCAAUUUGAAGAGCAGCGAACGGGUGAGUAACGCGUGGGGAAUCUGCCUUUGAGCGGGGGACAACAUUUGGAAACGAAUGCUAAUACCGCAUAAUAACUUUAAACAUAAGUUUUAAGUUUGAAAGAUGCAAUUGCAUCACUCAAAGAUGAUCCCGCGUUGUAUUAGCUAGUUGGUGAGGUAAAGGCUCACCAAGGCGAUGAUACAUAGCCGACCUGAGAGGGUGAUAGGCCACAUUGGGACUGAGACACGGCCCAAACUCCUACGGGAGGAAGCAGUAGGGAAUCUUCGGCAAUGGACGAAAGUCUGACCGAGCAAAGCCGCGUGAGGGAAGAAGGUUUUCGGAUCGUAAAACUCUGUUGGUAGAGAAGAAAGUUGGUGAGAGUGGAAAGCUCAUCAAGUGACGGUAACUAACCAGAAAGGGACGGCUAACUACGUG
rnacentral:rRNA from 1 species